rnacentral:rRNA from 1 species
CCUACGGGAGGCUGCAGUGGGGAAUAUUGGACAAUGGGCGAAAGCCUGAUCCAGCCAUGCCGCGUGUGUGAAGAAGGCCUUCGGGUUGUAAAGCACUUUCAGUGGGGAAGAAAGCCUUGGGGCUAAUACCCUCGAGGAAGGACAUCACCCACAGAAUAAGCACCGGCUAACUCCGUGCCAGCAGCCGCGGUAAUACGGAGGGUGCGAGCGUUAAUCGGAAUUACUGGGCGUAAAGCGCGCGUAGGCGGUCUGAUAAGCCGGUUGUGAAAGCCCCGGGCUCAACCUGGGAACGGCAUCCGGAACUGUCAGGCUAGAGUGCAGGAGAGGAAGGUAGAAUUCCCGGUGUAGCGGUGAAAUGCGUAGAGAUCGGGAGGAAUACCAGUGGCGAAGGCGGCCUUCUGGACUGACACUGACGCUGAGGUGCGAAAGCGUGGGUAGCAAACAGGAUUAGAUACCCUGGUAGUC